ensembl:lncRNA
CUGGCAGACAGUGAAUAGCAGCCCCUGGGGAGUCAGGGAAGAGGGGGCAGUGAGCGGUAGCGGCAGGACUGAGAACACUCCAGUGGAUUAUUUCUCCAACCCUGGGCCCACUGGAGGUACAUGGCCUAACUUAUCAGUAUAUUUGAGAUGAAAAAUGUGGAGAGAAAUUUUUUUUUCAGAAGAGGAGCACACAAACUUGAAGCAAAUUUGCAAAGAUUUAUUCUGGUAUAGUAGGUAGUUUUGGGGUCAAAGUUAUAAACUGCCAGAAGUAGCCAUCCAAGGUACCAAUAGUUUGAAUAUAUUGCAGCUGAGCUGUGUAUAAGUCAACAAGUGAAACCAUCUGUCAGCAGAGGUGUACAGCUUAGUGUUUAACACCCCAGGUGUGUCCUAUUAGGUGUGAAGAGCCCCCUGAGCCUUGCACCCCGUGCGUGUGAUUCAGGAGCAAGGGUGUGUUUGUGGUUAGGCUGAGUUUUCCCAGUUUCGUCAUGAUAAAGCCAGCAGGUUUGAAUUUUGAGACACUACAAUUGUCAAGGAGGUCACAGCAGGAACAUCCCUUCUAUGCAUUCCAGGGUCCCCUGAACCAGCAUACGUGUGACUGGCAAAAUCCACAGCACUGCAUGGAAACACCACUACCAAGAAGUUAAAAGCAAACAAACCACAGUCUGGCAGCUUGAAGAUGAAUGCUCUUCACGUCAGAUGCUUGCUGUGUUGUUGGGCAAUGUGCCAUGGCAUCCAUGACAGUGAUGAGUUGACUAGGACAAUUUUUACCUAACUGGACAAAGAUGAAUUGGAAUACAAAUAUACAUCAGACCUGAGGUUGGUUCUCUGAGCUCCUCUGACUGUCGGAGAAGAAAGGUUAUAUUGGAAUUAUGCUUCAAAGAUUAAAACUGGUUCUCUUCUGUUUUUGAAUGAAUUACAAUGAAUAUAUCUGGCAUUUUAAAUUUGUCUUACCUCCUCCAUUAUCUUUUCUGUAGUUCGCUUUUCGAAUGACAGAGUGAUUUAUUGAGUGUCUUUUAAAAGUUCCAUUUCACCAAACUAAUGGUGAAUAUAAAAAUCUGCCACUUGACCUAAC